rnacentral:lncRNA from 1 species
ACGACGUGCCAGAAGCUGCUCGGCCACAUCCCCGUCAUUUUCAUGUCCCUGUGCCAUGCUUCGUCCAUGGGAAGCAGGGCAUGGGCUGAGCUGGGCAAACACCAUUUCCUCUCUACACGGUCUGGUGGGUAUAUCAUUGAUGUCUGCAGGACAAGCAAGCUGCCUUCUCGUCGGUCUUAGCAUCUAGAUUUGGCAAACCUGUUUCACCGCAACUGUAUGGAAUGGUAGUUUUUCAUCUGCUCUGACCACUUUAAAUCCAUUUUUCUAGACCGUGUCCUUUCAAUGUUGGUGCUCCAAUUGUGUGUGGUUUCAGCACUGUGUCCAAAUUGAGUGCCCUCUUUUUGUAUGCUGUUGUCUGUCUGUCUGUCUGUUUGCUUGCUUGUGACGUGGUUGGGUCGUCCAUUCAUGUGAUGGAGUGGUUAUAGUCUUGUAUGUCUGCUCAUUCCAUGGUGUAAUAUCCAACUUUUAAAGAACCAACAUGUUGCACAGUUCACCCUGGUUACUGUCCUAAUAAAUGUGUGUGCGUUUUCCCCUUAAAUCUAUGGGCUGGGAAUAGUGCUGUGUCCUGGGGUUCAUGAUAUUUAAUUCCGUUAUGGAUUCCUUAAUUGAAAAUAACAAUGUGUUCAUGCAUGUAUUGCCACUUCCUGAAGCGUUGGUGCUUGCUGUGGGGAUGCCUGGUUGUGAUUUCCUUUUUGUGUACUGGUUAACCACAACGGUAUAGGGAACGUUAUCUCCCGUUGAGGUAUGAUUUGUCUGGUGUGUUCUUGCCUAGAUUAAAAUGUAAUAUUGUUUUCAUGCAUGCUCCCCCUUCUAGUUGGACCUUAAUAAUUCAGGUAGAAUGUUAUUGCCCUUAUGUACCUGCCUCCAGCUGAGACACUGUAUACUGUUAUGCAGAUCACGGUUGUAGGGUUUCCGUGGGGUAAAUUAACAGUGCUUUCAGGAAUGAGUUAUUUGUUCUGGGUGUAGUGGCGUUGCCUUCAUUUAUGUACUGUAUGUAAUGUCGUUUUCUGCUCCUGGUUCAAUUAGUCUUGUGUGCUCCAGGCCUAGGUGUGAUGGCUUCCUUGAGAGACGCAACCAGUUUUCCAUGCACAGCAUGCAUUUUUCCUACUCCGGGAUGUCCUGGUCCUGGCUGAGGUAGUAGUUUGUGCUGUUGGUCGGGUUGUGAUACUGCCCGCUGUGGAGAUAACUGCGCAAGCUACUGCCUUGCCAGUGCUAGUGACCAAGCUGCAGCUGGAGAAGGCAACUGGGGUCACGGCAUCACGAUUGUGUCAGUGGUGACAAAACUGGUUUUGCCACAGUAAAACCUUUUCCCAACCGACGCACUACAGAAGAUUCUAGGAUCAUCAUUGAAACUUAAUAAUCUUUUUUUUUAUUUGUAAAAUGUUUAGUUGAAUUAGUUUAAAGUCGACAGGUUUAUGGCCGUGAAGACCUGCCAUUUGUCUUUUUGGUGCAGCAGUGUGCCAAAACGGAUUUUUUUCUCUUCUUUCUCGAACCAUUUUAUUUUGCAAUUGCUUAUUUAUAUAGAGGCAUAUUAUAAAUAAGGGUGAUAUAUAUUUAAAGUGUUUGUUUUCAUUAAAUACAUCCGUGCAAUAAUGUUUUUUCUUCUUGCAUACUCUUCCUUGUUUGCUUAAA